rnacentral:rRNA from 1 species
GAGUUUGAUCGUGGCUCAGGAUGAACGCUAGCGGCAGGCUUAAUACAUGCAAGUCGAGGGGCAGCAUGAGUAGCAAUACUUGAUGGCGACCGGCAAACGGGUGCGGAACACGUACGCAACCUUCCUUUAAGUGGAGAAUAGCUCCCGGAAACGGGAAUUAAUACUCCGUAACAUUAUGAGGCGGCAUCACCUUAUAAUUAUAGAUUUAUCGCUUAAAGAUGGGCGUGCGCCUGACUAGGUAGUUGGCGGGGUAACGGCCCACCAAGCCUUCGAUCAGUAACUGGCGUGAGAGCGCGACCAGUCACACGGGCACUGAGACACGGGCCCGACUCCUACGGGAGGCAGCAGUAAGG